GACGUAGGGGGCCAGCGUUGUUCGGAAUUACUGGGUGUAAAGGGUUCGUAGGCGGUGCGGCAAGUUGGGUGUGAAAUCUCUGGGCUUAACCCAGAGGCUGCUUCCAAAACUGCUGUGCUUGAGUGUGGGAGAGGCGCGUGGAAUUGCAGGUGUAGCGGUGAAAUGCGUAGAUAUCUGCAGGAACACCCGUGGCGAAAGCGGCGCGCUGGACCACUACUGACGCUGAGGAACGAAAGCUAGGGGAGCAAACAGG
rnacentral:rRNA from 1 species